AGGAAAUGGCAACGCACUCCAGUAUUCUUGCCUGGAGAAUCCCAUGGACAGAGGAGCCUGGCGGGGGGAUCUUCCCAACCCAGGGAUCUUCCCAACCCAGGGAUCGAACCCAGGUCUCCCGCAUUGGAGGCAGACGCUUUAACCUCAGCCACCAGGGAAGCCCAGUGCAGUGGCACUGGGUAGAGCAGUGAAUGAGACAAACCUGGCCUUUGCCUUCCUGAAGCCUAGAAUCUAGGAGAAGACAGACAGAUGCAAGCAAGUGCAGGAGGAAACAGAUGCAAAGAGUAAAAUGGACCGAGAUUCACCACCAUCAAGGAAGAUAACUGGAAUUGGGUCUUUCUCAGUCCACUGAGCUGUGUACUUAACCUCUACCCUACACUGCUGAGCAGAGGCGCCCGUGGGCUGGGACAGGAAGAGGCAUCCAGAGCCAUGAACGUGGAAAGAACAACUACACGAAGAGACAGACAUUCCACGGACUAGAGGGCCCUCGGCAACAUUGGCCAUGGAGUGGUCCCACGGUCCUGUCAAUGUCAGUUCUUCUUUUUUUAGAGACUGUUUAUUUUCCAUCAACCUAUUUCCAUUUAAAGAGUUUGUGGAGAACUUCCCACCUCCCCACCCGGUGCUCCAGUGGCUAAGACUCUGUGCUCCCAAUGCAGGGGGCCCAGGUUUGAUCCCUGGUUGGGGAACUAGGUCCUACAUGCUGUAACUAAGCAUUCGCAUGCCAUAACUAAAGAUUCUGCGUGCUGCAACUAAGACCCAGUGCAGCCAAAAAAAAAAAAGUUUGUAGAAGAACAGCUUAAGAUUGUUGUGGUUGUUCCUCAACAACCACAGUGGUUGUUCCUACUCAUUCAGUGGCCUGAGUGGUGGGAGCUACAGGCCAGUCUUCAGUGGGGAACUGUGGAAUAAGCCCAGAGAGCUCCUGCACACCUCCGGACCAGUCCACCACCUCAGGUUGAGCAUCGGUGAACUCAGGAGCUGGAGCGGUCCAUUCACCCUGAAAUGCCUCCUUGGUCACAACCUUCUCAGCGGCCGCCCGCUCUUCCUUUUCAAUCCCUUUCAGCAUCUCCAUAGAAGGAAAGAUAAGGCAUGACCUUCCAGGGUGUUCACAGGAGAUGGUGUCAUGUAUGGGCAGAACUUCUCGGGCGAGCACCCACCACGUCAGACCCACUGAGUGAGCUCCCUUGUCACACGGGAUGGCUGGGUCCACAGAGCACAGAGGAGAGUCUGUGUCACAAAGAUCAAUGGAAGGCAGGUGAAGAGACUUCUGUGAGAGGCUGGUGGUCAGCCCUGCCAUUAGUAACCACCAGAAGCCUUGGCUCCUGGAAGGCUGCCUAGAUCUGGUUAGUGAAGGUUCCAAGAGGGAAGCAGCCAGCAAUAGGAACGGCUCCAGUGGCAGCAGCAAACCAGCACAGCCCACAGGCCAGUAUUCUCGGAGGAAAUGACGCUGAUGUCCACUGGGUUUUUAGUGACAGCAAUGGCAUGAGCUGCCAACAGAAGCUUCUGCAAGGUUCUCUUCAGAUUUAUGAUGUAGAUGUCAUGACUUUUCCUUUUGUAGACAUGCUGUUUCGUUUGAAAGUUAAAGUUGGUGCCACCUAAGUGGGUUUCCCUUCCUUGGUGGCUCAGUGGUAAAGAAAUCUGCCUGCAAUGCAGGAGAAGCGAGAUGUGGGUAAGAUCCCUGGGUCAGGAAGAUCCCCUGGAGGAGGAAAUGCAACCUGCUCCAGUAUUCUUGCUAGAAAAUUCCAUGGACAGAGGAGCCUGGCGAGCUCCAUGCGGUCACAAACAGUUGGGCAUGACUGAGUGACUGAUCACACACACACAAGUGAGUUUCUGAUGAAAGGAAUUUGAGGACACCCUCCUCCCUAUUUGCAGGACAUCAAGGGCUCUGGAUAUGGUGAAAGUUUCCCUUUAAGUUACAAUGGGAAUCCAGAACAAUGCCAUAUGGACCCCAGUCUGGGUAACGAGGAGAGGCAACAUCAGUUCAUCUUGAGGAAGGAUGAGAAAACCUGGUUUGAAUUAAACAAGUCUGAUGGCUCAGGGAUGGGAGUCCCAAGGGGAGGAAAUCCCAGGUAAGGGACUGAGUGUCCAAGGUCACAGUACUGAACCGCAAAGACUCAGUUCUCUUUAGAACAUUAAAAUUGAUGUGCUUAGUCACUCAGUCAUGUCUGACUCUGCAACCCCAUGUACUGUAGCCCGCUGGGCUCCUCUGUCCAUGAGAGUCUCCAGGCAAGAAUACUGAAGUGAGUAGUCAUUCGCUUCUCCAGGGGAUCUUCCUGACCCAUAGAUCAAACCCACCUCUCACAAUGGAGGCAGAUUUUUUCCCCGACUGAGCCACCAGGGAAGCCCCUCCUUAGAACUUCACCCACCAAAGGCAUAAUUGCCAGCUUAAUUGAUGUUUUCCUUUCCAGGAAAUAUUGCUUUGAAAAGAAAGGUUUGAGGGACUUCCCCAGUGGUUCAAUGGUCAAGAAUCCACCUUGCAAUGCAAGGAACUCUGGUUUGAUCCCUGGUUGGGGAACUAGGAUCCCAUGUGCCAGGGAACAAUUAAGCCUGUACACUCCAACUAGAGAGCCUGAGAGCCACAACGAAAGAUCCCACGUGCCACAACUAAGAC
ensembl:lncRNA